GAUGAAGAACGUAGCGAAAUGCGAUAAGUAGUGUGAAUUGCAGAAUUCAGUGAAUCAUCGAAUCUUUGAACGCACAUUGCGCCCUUCGGUAUUCCGUUGGGCAUGCCUGUUCGAGCGUCAUUACAACCCUCAGGCCCCCGGGCCUGGCGUUGGGGAUCGGCGGAGCCCCCCGUGGGCACACGCCGUCCCCCAAAUACAGUGGCGGUCCCGCCGCAGCUUCCAUCGCGUAGUAGCUAACACCUCGCGACUGGAGAGCGGCGCGGCCACGCCGUAAAACACCCAACUCUUCUGAAGUUGACCUCGAAUCAGGUAGGAAUACCCGCUGAACUUAAGCAUAUCAAUAAGCGGAGGA
rnacentral:misc_RNA from 1 species